CUGUCUCUAUUAAAAAAAAGAAGAAAAGAAAGAAUUUAGUAGCUCUUUGUUAGAAUAAUGCUUCUAAAUAUUGCCUGUGUAUUGAAAAUUUUUCACCAUAUGCUUAUUUGUAGCUUUUAAUAUUUUCAACCAAUAUCUGUAAUGAUUGGGAUAUUAUCAUCGCUAUUUCUAAAGACAAAUGCCAUCCAGUUCAUUUAAGGUCAAACUUUGAGACUGCUGUGGUGACCUAGUAUCUGGAAUUAGUAUAUUUAUAUUGGUUCUUUUGUCUCUUGAAUCUAUAAACUUUGUAUUUAAGCCAAUCUUCUUUUCUGCCUGUCUUCUAUAAACUGUUAGUAACAAAAAAAACAGUGUGCUGACUGUAUGCUUGCCUGUUGAUGCUUGUUGAAAGGGUAUUUAUUUACUCUUUCCUUUUCUUCUAAAUACUCUCUACUCUUCCUUCUCUCUUUUUUCCAUCUUGCAUGGCAUCUUGGGGCGGAAAGGAAUCAGAGUCAGAUCAAGAACAGGAGGAAGAGAUCGAUAUGACAUCAGAAAAAAAUCCACAGGAUGAGCAGGAACGGAUCGAGGAAAGGCUGGCUUAUAUUGCUGAUCACCUUGGCUUCAGCUGGACAGAAUUAGCAAGAGAACUGGAUUUCACUGAGGAGCAAAUUCAUCAAAUUCGAAUUGAAAAUCCCAACUCUCUUCAAGACCAGAGUCAUGCACUGUUGAAGUACUGGCUAGAGAGGGAUGGGAAACAUGCUACGGAUACCAACCUCGUUGAAUGUCUCACCAAGAUCAACCGAAUGGAUAUUGUUCAUCUCAUGGAGACCAACACAGAACCUCUCCAGGAGCGCAUCAGUCAU
rnacentral:sRNA from 1 species